rnacentral:rRNA from 1 species
UUUUGAUUUAAAAGGUGAGAAAACCAGAGUAGUAGUAGUUUUGGUCUUGAAACUUAAAGAAUUUGGCGGUAUAUUAUUCUAUUCAGAGGAAUCUGUUCCUUAAUCGAUAAUCCACGUUGGAACUUUCUUAUUUUAUUUGUUUGUAUAUCGCCGUUGAUAAAAAUCUUUAGGAGGGUAAAUUUUUUUAAUAUUUUAUUAUAUAAUUUUUCAGGUCAAGGUGCAGCUAAUAAAUAAGUGGAGAUGGAUUACAUAAAUAUUGAAUUAUAUUGAAUUAUUUAAUGGAAAGAUAAAUAUGAAAUUGGAUUUGAUAGUAAUUUUAUAAAGAUUUUUAAUAUGAAUAUGGCUCUAUAAUGUGU